CUCAAAGGAAUUGACGGGGGCCCGCACAAGCGGUGGAGCAUGUGGUUUAAUUCGAUGAUACGCGAGGAACCUUACCUGGGCUCAAAUGUAUGUUGACGUAUUCUGAAAGGGAUACUUCUUCGGACAAUAUACAAGGUGCUGCAUGGUUGUCGUCAGCUCGUGCCGUGAGGUGUCGGGUUAAGUCCCAUAACGAGCGCAACCCCUAUCAUUAGUUGCCAUCAGGUCAAGCUGGGGACUCUAAUGAAACUGCCUACGCAAGUAGUGAGGAAGGUGGGGAUGACGUCAAAUCAGCACGGCCCUUACGUCCAGGGCUACACACGUGCUACAAUGGCCGGUACAAAGGGUUGCCAAGCCGCGAGGUGGAGCUAAUCCCAUAAAACCGAUCGUAGUCCGGAUCGCAGUCUGCAACUCGACUGCGUGAAGUCGGAAUCGCUAGUAAUCGUGAAUCAGAAUGUCACGGUGAAUACGUUCCCGGGCCUU
rnacentral:rRNA from 1 species